CAUUAAUUUGAGAGUUUGAUCCUGGCUCAGGACGAACGCUGGCGGCGUGCCUAAUACAUGCAAGUCGAACGAACUCUGGUAUUGAUUGGUGCUUGCAUCAUGAUUUACAUUUGAGUGAGUGGCGAACUGGUGAGUAACACGUGGGAAACCUGCCCAGAAGCGGGGAUAACACCUGGAAACAGAUGCUAAUACCGCAUAACAACUUGGACCGCAUGGUCCGAGUUUGAAAGAUGGCUUCGGCUAUCACUUUUGGAUGGUCCCGCGGCGUAUUAGCUAGAUGGUGGGGUAACGGCUCACCAUGGCAAUGAUACGUAGCCGACCUGAGAGGGUAAUCGGCCACAUUGGGACUGAGACACGGCCCAAACUCCUACGGGAGGCAGCAGUAGGGAAUCUUCCACAAUGGACGAAAGUCUGAUGGAGCAACGCCGCGUGAGUGAAGAAGGGUUUCGGCUCGUAAAACUCUGUUGUUAAAGAAGAACAUAUCUGAGAGUAACUGUUCAGGUAUUGACGGUAUUUAACCAGAAAGCCACGGCUAACUACGUGCCAGCAGCCGCGGUAAUACGUAGGUGGCAAGCGUUGUCCGGAUUUAUUGGGCGUAAAGCGAGCGCAGGCGGUUUUUUAAGUCUGAUGUGAAAGCCUUCGGCUCAACCGAAGAAGUGCAUCGGAAACUGGGAAACUUGAGUGCAGAAGAGGACAGUGGAACUCCAUGUGUAGCGGUGAAAUGCGUAGAUAUAUGGAAGAACACCAGUGGCGAAGGCGGCUGUCUGGUCUGUAACUGACGCUGAGGCUCGAAAGUAUGGGUAGCAAACAGGAUUAGAUACCCUGGUAGUCCAUACCGUAAACGAUGAAUGCUAAGUGUUGGAGGGUUUCCGCCCUUCAGUGCUGCAGCUAACGCAUUAAGCAUUCCGCCUGGGGAGUACGGCCGCAAGGCUGAAACUCAAAGGAAUUGACGGGGGCCCGCACAAGCGGUGGAGCAUGUGGUUUAAUUCGAAGCUACGCGAAGAACCUUACCAGGUCUUGACAUACUAUGCAAAUCUAAGAGAUUAGACGUUCCCUUCGGGGACAUGGAUACAGGUGGUGCAUGGUUGUCGUCAGCUCGUGUCGUGAGAUGUUGGGUUAAGUCCCGCAACGAGCGCAACCCUUAUUAUCAGUUGCCAGCAUUAAGUUGGGCACUCUGGUGAGACUGCCGGUGACAAACCGGAGGAAGGUGGGGAUGACGUCAAAUCAUCAUGCCCCUUAUGACCUGGGCUACACACGUGCUACAAUGGAUGGUACAACGAGUUGCGAACUCGCGAGAGUAAGCUAAUCUCUUAAAGCCAUUCUCAGUUCGGAUUGUAGGCUGCAACUCGCCUACAUGAAGUCGGAAUCGCUAGUAAUCGCGGAUCAGCAUGCCGCGGUGAAUACGUUCCCGGGCCUUGUACACACCGCCCGUCACACCAUGAGAGUUUGUAACACCCAAAGUCGGUGGGGUAACCUUUUAGGAACCAGCCGCCUAAGGUGGGACAGAUGAUUAGGGUGAAGUCGUAACAAGGUAGCCGUAGGAGAACCUGCGGCUGGAUCACCUCCUUU
rnacentral:rRNA from 1 species